AACGCGAAGAACCUUACCUACCCUUGACAUGGCUGGAAUCCUCGAGAGAUUGAGGAGUGCUCGAAAGAGAACCAGUACACAGGUGCUGCAUGGCUGUCGUCAGCUCGUGUCGUGAGAUGUUGGGUUAAGUCCCGCAACGAGCGCAACCCUUGUCAUUAGUUGCUACGAAAGGGCACUCUAAUGAGACUGCCGGUGACAAACCGGAGGAAGGUGGGGAUGACGUCAAGUCCUCAUGGCCCUUAUGGGUAGGGCUUCACACGUCAUACAAUGGUACAUACAGAGCGCCGCCAACCCGCGAGGGGGAGCUAAUCGCAGAAAGUGUAUCGUAGUCCGGAUUGUAGUCUGCAACUCGACUGCAUGAAGUUGGAAUCGCUAGUAAUCGCGGAUCAGCAUGUCGCGGUGAAUACGUUCCCGGGUCUUGUACACAC
rnacentral:rRNA from 1 species